CCCCCCCCCCCCCCCCCCCCCCCCCCCUGAGCCGGCAGACUGAUGUACGAGCUGCCUUCUUCGCUCCACCGGCUUCUCGUGGUCGCCGCCACCGCUGCUUCUGCUGCUUGUCUCCGUCUCCUGCAUGCUCGACAAGUGAUUGGAGGAGGAGUUAGUGCCAAGGACUGGACCGGAUGCGCCUUGAUACAUGAUGUGCAGCGCCCUUGAUCUCAGGAGUCGCAGCAGGGGCAUGGGUGGGGAAGGAGCAGCAGUGACUUCCCAAACCCCGCACCAGAGUGGGUGGCCACGGCGGGCGCCAGGAAGCGGCGGCGGAGAUGAUCAAUGCGAUGAGGAGGAGCCGCCCGUCGAAGCGGUCGCCAUGGAGGAGCAAAAACGGCAGAUGGGCGGUGGCAGAGCUCGCCUCCAUGCGAGCAGCGCAUGUGGGCAGGGGCGACGCAGAUUGGCAGCGGACCAGCAGAGGCGCAGCAGCGACACAGGUAGGCGGCGGCGCGCUAGGCCCUGCGACGGCUGCCGCUGAUGGCUGCGCCUGGUUCCUGCCGCGGGCGACGAGGGAAGGGAGGAAGAAGAUGGGGGUAAGUAGCAAGCGAUUUAGAAUCAUAAGGGCUUUUUUGUAAAGUUGCGAAUGAACUAAGCCAGAGACAACUUUUCCCAGACGGAGGGGGUACUAAUUUCGCUAGUUGGAAGCAUAAGAUGAAAAUGCAUA